rnacentral:rRNA from 1 species
GAUGAACGCUGGCGGCGUGCCUAAUACAUGCAAGUCGAGCGAACAGACGAGGAGCUUGCUCCUCUGACGUUAGCGGCGGACGGGUGAGUAACACGUGGAUAACCUACCUAUAAGACUGGGAUAACUUCGGGAAACCGGAGCUAAUACCGGAUAAUAUAUUGAACCGCAUGGUUCAAUAGUGAAAGACGGUUUUGCUGUCACUUAUAGAUGGAUCCGCGCCGCAUUAGCUAGUUGGUAAGGUAACGGCUUACCAAGGCAACGAUGCGUAGCCGACCUGAGAGGGUGAUCGGCCACACUGGAACUGAGACACGGUCCAGACUCCUACGGGAGGCAGCAGUAGGCAAUCUUCCGCAAAGGGCGAAAGCCUGACGGAGCAACGCCGCGUGAGUGAUGAAGGUCUUCGGAUCGUAAAACUCUGUUAUUAGGGAAGAACAAAUGUGUAAGUAACUAUGCACGUCUUGACGGUACCUAAUCAGAAAGCCACGGCUAACUACGUG